GUUUCGCGCAUGUAAUCCAAGCUCCCGGGAGGCUGAGGCUGGAGGAUCGUCUGAGCUCAGGACCUCUGAGCUGCAUCCUGGAGAAGCCCGGGACCAGCAGGUUGUCUAAGCACGGGUGUACCGGCCCAGGACGGAGACGGAGCAGGUCAAAGCCCCCGUGCCGCUCAGUAGUGGGAUCUCGCCUGUGAAUAGACGCUGUAGUGCAGCCUGAGUAACACAGCGGGACCCAGUUUUUA
rnacentral:SRP_RNA from 1 species